rnacentral:rRNA from 1 species
UACGGAGGGGGCUAGCGUUGUUCGGAAUUACUGGGCGUAAAGCGCGCGUAGGCGGACCUGCAAGUCGGGGGUGAAAGCCCGAGGCUCAACCUCGGAACUGCCUUCGAUACUGCGGGUCUCGAGUCCGGGAGAGGUGAGUGGAAUUCCUAGUGUAGAGGUGAAAUUCGUGAGAUAUUAGGAAGAACACCAGUGGCGAAGGCGGCUCACUGGCCCGGUACUGACGCUGAGGCGCGAAAGCGUGGGGAGCAAACAGGG